rnacentral:rRNA from 1 species
AUUGAACGCUGGCGGCAGGCCUAACACAUGCAAGUCGAGCGGAUGACGGGAGCUUGCUCCUUGAAUCAGCGGCGGACGGGUGAGUAAUGCCUAGGAAUCUGCCUGGUAGUGGGGGGCAACGUUUCGAAAGGAACGCUAAUACCGCAUACGUCCUACGGGAGAAAGCAGGGGACCUUCGGGCCUAGCGCUAUCAGAUGAGCCUAGGUCGGAUUAGCUAGUUGGUGGGGUAAUGGCUCACCAAGGCGACGAUCCGUAACUGGUCUGAGAGGAUGAUCAGUCACACUGGAACUGAGACACGGUCCAGACUCCUACGGGAGGCAGCAGUGGGGAAUAUUGGACAAUGGGCGAAGGCCUGAUCCAGCCAUGCCGCGUGUGUGAAGAAGGUCUUCGGAUUGUAAAGCACUUUAAGUUGGGAGGAAGGGCAGUAAGUUAAUACCUUGCUGUUUUGACGUUACCGACAGAAUAAGCACCGGCUAACUCUGUGCCAGCCGCCGCAGUAA